CCUGCAACAUAUUAAACAAGUUGUGUUAGCCAUUGUGAUGACAAUGUAGAUAAUAGAAUUUCCUCAUACUUGAAUCCUAGGGCUGGUCAUGAUAUUUCACAAAAAUAAAUCAUCCUCUUAAAAUAGAAAAUCGGUUAUUUCAUACAAGAUGGCUCACUUUUCACAAAACUUAUUAAAAAGAGACUGAUUAAAAUUCAGUUCGAAAAUAAGCUGGCUGAGAGUCAACCAUUUCAUUGAUAAAAAAUAAUAGCAGUUUCAUUUCAGUUUGUCAAGACUUCAUCAGGAAUGGCUGUGUAUUAAAUUGCAAGUGACGAAUUAUAUUUUUUACAGAUAUUACAGAAGAUGUACGUCUGAUAUCGCACGGAAAACAUGCUCUAUCCCUUUGACUUGUGUACCACAAAAAGUAACCUGGCUUGGCAAAAACCUACACUAGCAAACAGAUGUUUAUAGGGAUUUUUUUUACAAUGAGGGAAGGCAAAAAGAUCUUGCUUUUGCCAAUAAUGUUCAUAAACUUACUGUAUCUUGUCUCAAGGGAACACUCAAGACAGUCUCCUUCAAAUUUGGAAGAUGUUUUACAGUUCGAAGCUCGUUCUUUUGUAAUUUGGGAGAAUUUCUACAAUUUCGAAGGUUGUGUUCUCCUGAAAUUUGUAAGAUUUUUUUCUCAAGCAUCAACUAUACUUCCAAAAUCACUUAAAUCUGAGCUUGAAUUACCGUGAUUGUCGAAACAAGGCUGAGGUAAGUCAGCCUUGUAACUAUACUAGUAACUAUACUUCCCAAAUCCCCUAUAUCUGGGCUUGAAUUACUGUGAUUGGUGAACCAAGGCUGAGGUAAGUCAGCCUUGUAACUAUACUUCCCAAAUCCCCUAUACCUGGGCUUGAAUUACCAUGAUUGGUGAAACGAGGAUGAGGUAAGUCAGCCUUGUAACUAUACUAGUAACUAUACUUCCCAAAUCCCCUAUAUCUGGGCUUGAAUUACUGUGAUUGGUGAACCAAGGCUGAGGUAAGUCAGCCUUGUAACUAUACUUCCCAAAUCCCCUAUACCUGGGCUUGAAUUACCGUGAUUGGUGAAACGAGGCUAAGUUAAGUCAGCCUUGUAACCACACCAGUAACUAUACUUCCCAAAUCCCCUAUAUCUGAGCUUGAAUUACUGUGAUUGGUGAAGCGAGGAUGAGGUAAGUCAGCGUUGUAACUAUACUAGUAACUAUACUUCCCAAAUCCCCUAUAUCUGAGCUUGAAUUACUGUGAUUGGUGAACCAAGGCUGAGGUAAGUCAGCCUUGUAACUAUACUUCCCAAAUCCCCUAUACCUGGGCUUGAAUUACCGUGAUUGGUGAAACGAGGAUGAGGUAAGUCAGCCUUGUAACUAUACUAGUAACUAUACUUCCCAAAUCCCCUAUAUCUGAGCUUGAAUUACCGUGAUUGGUGAAACAAGGCUGAGGUAAGUCAGCCUUGUAACUAUACUAGUAACUAUACUUCCCAAAACCCCUAUAUCUGGGCUUGAAUUACUGUGAUUGGUGAAAUAUGGCUAAGGUAAGUCAGUCUUGUAACUAUACUAGUAACUAUACUUCCAAAAUCCCCUAUAUCUGAGCUUGAAUUACUGUGAUUGGUGAACCAAGGCUGAGGUAAGCCAGCCUUGUAACUAUACUAGUAACUAUACUUCCAAAAUCCCUUAUAUCUGAGUUGAAUUACUGUGAUUGGUGAAACAAGACUGAGGUAAGUCAGCCUUGUAACUAUACUAGUAACUAUACUUCCCAAAUCCCCUAUACCUGGGCUUGAAUUACUGUGAUUGGUGAACCAAGGCUGAGGUAAGUCAGCGUUGUAACUAUACUAGUAACUAUACUUCCCAAAUCCCCUAUAUCCGAGUUGAAUUACUGUGAUUGGUGAAACAAGACUGAGGUAAGUCAGCCUUGUAACUAUACUAGUAACUAUACUUCCCAAAUCCCCUAUAUCUGGGCUUGAAUUACCGUGAUUGGUGAACCAAGGCUGAGGUAAGUCAGCGUUGUAACUAUACUAGUAACUAUACUUCCCAAAUCCCCUAUACCUGGGCUUGAAUUACUGUGAUUGGUGAACCAAGGCUGAGGUAAGUCAGCGUUGUAACUAUACUAGUAACUAUACUUCCCAAAUCCCCUAUACCUGGGCUUGAAUUACUGUGAUUGGUGAAACAAGACUGAGGUAAGUCAGCCUUGUAACUAUACUAGUAACUAUACUUCCCAAAUCCCCUAUACCUGGGCUUGAAUUACUGCGAUUGGUGAAACAAGACUGAGGUAAGUCAGCCUUGUAACUAUACUAGUAACUAUACUUCCCAAAUCCUCUAUAUCUGGGCUUGAAUUACCGUGAUUGGUGAACCAAGGCUGAGGUAAGUCAGCAUUGUAACUAUACUAGUAACUAUACUUCCCAAAUCCCCUAUACCUGGGCUUGAAUUACUGUGAUUGGUGAACCAAGGCUGAGGUAAGUCAGCGUUGUAACUAUACUAGUAACUAUACUUCCCAAAUCCCCUAUACCUGGGCUCGAAUUACUGUGAUUGGUGAACCAAGGCUGAGGUAAGUCAGCCUUGUAGCUAUACUUCCCAAAUCCCCUAUACCUGGGCUUGAAUUACCGUGAUUGGUGAAACGAGGAUGAGGUAAGUCAGCCUUGUAACUAUACUUCCCAAAUCCCCUAUACCUGGGCUUGAAUUACUGUGAUUGGUGAAACGAGGCUAAGGUAAGUCAGCCUUGUAACCACACCAGUAACUAUACUUCCCAAAUCCCCUAUAUCUGAGCUUGAAUUACUGUGAUUGGUGAAACGAGGAUGAGGUAAGUCAGCGUUGUAACUAUACUAGUAACUACACUUCCAAAAUCCCUUAUAUCUUAGUUGAAUUACUGUGAUUGGUGAAACAAGACUGAGGUAAGUCAGCCUUGCAACUAUACUAGUAACUAUACUUCUCAAAUCCCCUAUAUCUGGGCUUGAAUUACCGUGAUUGGUGAAACAAGACUGAGGUAAGUCAGCCUUGUAACUAUACUAGUAACUAUACUUCCCAAAUCCCCUAUACCUGGGCUUGAAUUACUGUGAUUGGUGAAACAAGACUGAGGUAAGUCAGCCUUGUAACUAUACUAGUAACUAUACUUCCCAAAUCCUCUAUAUCUGGGCUUGAAUUACUGUGAUUGGUGAACCAAGGCUGAGGUAAGUCAGCCUUGUAACUAUACUAGUAACUAUACUUCCCAAAUCCCCUAUACCUGGGCUUGAAUUACUGUGAUUGGUGAACCAAGGCUGAGGUAAGUCAGCAUUGUAACUAUACUAGUAACUAUACUUCCCAAAUCCCCUAUACCUGGGCUUGAAUUACUGUGAUUGGUGAAACAAGACUGAGGUAAGUCAGCCUUGUAACUAUACUAGUAACUAUACUUCCCAAAUCCCCUAUACCUGGGCUUGAAUUACUGCGAUUGGUGAAACAAGACUGAGGUAAGUCAGCCUUGUAACUAUACUAGUAACUAUACUUCCCAAAUCCCCUAUACCUGGGCUUGAAUUACUGCGAUUGGUGAAACAAGACUGAGGUAAGUCAGCCUUGUAACUAUACUAGUAACUAUACUUCCCAAAUCCUCUAUAUCUGGGCUUGAAUUACCGUGAUUGGUGAACCAAGGCUGAGGUAAGUCAGCAUUGUAACUAUACUUCCCAAAUCCCCUAUACCUGGGCUUGAAUUACCGUGAUUGGUGAAACGAGGCUAAGUUAAGUCAGCCUUGUAACCACACCAGUAACUAUACUUCCCAAAUCCCCUAUAUCUGAGCUUGAAUUACUGUGAUUGGUGAACCAAGGCUGAGGUAAGUCAGCCUUGUAGCUAUACUUCCCAAAUCCCCUAUACCUGGGCUUGAAUUACCGUGAUUGGUGAAACAAGGAUGAGGUAAGUCAGCCUUGUAACUAUACUUCCCAAAUCCCCUAUACCUGGGCUUGAAUUACUGUGAUUGGUGAACCAAGGCUAAGGUAAGUCAGCCUUGUAACCACACCAGUAACUAUACUUCCCAAAUCCCCUAUAUCUGAGCUUGAAUUACUGUGAUUGGUGAAACGAGGAUGAGGUAAGUCAGCGUUGUAACUAUACUAGUAACUACACUUCCAAAAUCCCUUAUAUCUUAGUUGAAUUACUGUGAUUGGUGAAACAAGACUGAGGUAAGUCAGCCUUGCAACUAUACUAGUAACUAUACUUCUCAAAUCCCCUAUAUCUGGGCUUGAAUUACCGUGAUUGGUGAAACAAGACUGAGGUAAGUCAGCCUUGUAACUAUACUAGUAACUAUACUUCCCAAAUCCCCUAUACCUGGGCUUGAAUUACUGUGAUUGGUGAAACAAGACUGAGGUAAGUCAGCCUUGUAACUAUACUAGUAACUAUACUUCCCAAAUCCUCUAUAUCUGGGCUUGAAUUACUGUGAUUGGUGAACCAAGGCUGAGGUAAGUCAGCCUUGUAACUAUACUAGUAACUAUACUUCCCAAAUCCUCUAUAUCUGGGCUUGAAUUACUGUGAUUGGUGAACCAAGGCUGAGAUAAGUCAGCGUUGUAACUAUACUAGUAACUAUACUUCCCAAAUCCCCUAUAUCUGAGUUGAAUUAUUGUGAUUGGUGAAACAAGACUGAGGUAAGUCAGCGUUGUAACUAUACUAGUAACUAUACUUCCCAAAUCCUCUAUAUCUGGGCAUGAAUUACUGUGAUUAGUGAACCAAGGCUGAGGUAAGUCAGCCUUGUAACUAUACUAGUAACUAUACUUCCCAAAUCCCCUAUACCUGGGCUUGAAUUACCGUGAUUAGUGAACCAAGGCUGAGGUAAGUCAGCCUUGUAACUAUACUAGUAACUAUACUUCCCAAAUCCCCUAUACCUGGGCUUGAAUUACCGUGAUUUGUGAAACGAGGAUGAGGUAAGUCAGCCUUGUAACUAUACUAGUAACUAUACUUCCCAAAUCCCCUAUACCUGGGCUUGAAUUACUGUGAUUGUGGAACGAGGAUGAGGUAAUUCAGCCUUGUAACUAUACUAGUAACUAUACUUCCCAAAUCCCCUAUAUCUGAGCUUGAAUUACUGUGAUUGGUGAACCAAGGCUGAGGUAAGUCAGAGAGGGCCUUGGCAAUUACCCGUGAGAGGCCUUAAAUAAAGUAUUUAGAAGUAUAGAAACUCAUUUGAUUGGUCUACCCUUUGUCAUGUCAUAGCUUAUUUUUUCCUUUUAGAAUAGGAGAGCUAAUGCAAACAGUAAAAGUUGGUAUAGUUAAAUAUAUUUUUAUUAAUUUUUUUUUCUUAAUGUCUUGCCUGAUGGGUAACCCCAUUUUUGCUGGGAUGGACGCCUUCUGCAGAGCUCUGCCAUUUUUGACAAUUUAAAUCAUUUCUCAUCCAUCAAAGAGUGCUCUUACAAAUCACUUGUCCGCCCUCAUUUGGAAUAUGAAAAUUGCGUGUGAGACCCUCUGCUCAACAAGAAACGUAAAACAAAUUGAGUGUGUUUAAUGCAGAUCUGCACAUUUUGUAAAAAAAAUGCUCGCUCCAGGUACAAUGACUGAGAUGCUAAGUGAACUUGAAUGGCCCUCACUUCACCAAGUAAGGAGAAAUGCUGACCUAACGAUAUUUUAUAAGGCUGCCCAUGGUGACACCCUCCUUAUAUUAAUAAACGUUAACGCGAACUUAGAGGAUAUCAUGUAAACAAAUUUAUCGAACUCAGCCCAAACACAGAGGCAUUAGGAAUUCAUUUUAUUGUAAGAUGGUAAGAGUGGAAAAACUUACCUAUAACCACUCUAGAAUCCACUUAAGUUAGUGUAAUUUAUUACUUAUUUGUAUGUUCAGUAAGUGUUUUUGUGAUUUUGGCAUUGCUGCUUUGAUUUUUGCCUCUAAGGGGAUGUUUAAUUUUUUUUCUGAUUCUGCUAUCUCUUAGGGUUAAAAAUUCCUUCAACCAAACCCAAUAAGCUAUCUUUUAGGGGUAAGAAUUUCUGUUGACCACUCCCAAUGUCCCAUCCCUUAGGGUUAUAAUCGAUUUUGCCAACGAUAACCCCAGUCUGUUUUAUUGAAGGUGUUUACAUUUUGCAAGGCCCUCCGUAUGUAGAUGUAGCUAUGUAAUAUUUUCCUGUAUGGGGCAUUAUAGGGAUCCAAUUGGCUUAUCACAAGGAUUACUCAAUUUAAACAUGAAUUUUAUAGAUGUGGAUUUUAUCAGAUAAUUUAUUCAAGCGUACCUUUUUGCAGUAGUCUACUACUUUUGGCCAUCGACCUGUCUCAAAAUGACACGCUUAGGGCAAAGAGACAUCAAAUGUUAGUAUUGAUAAUGCUCCCAAUGAAGUGAACAAAA